UACGUAGGCGGAAAAUUAAGUCAGUAGUGAAAUCCUGCAGCUUAACUGUAGAACUGUUAUUGAUACUGGUUUUCUUGAAUAUAGUUGAGGUAAGCGGAAUGUGUAAUGUAGCGGUGAAAUGCUUAGAUAUUACACAGAACACCGAUUGCGAAGGCAGCUUACUAAGCUAUGAUUGACGCUGAGGUACGAAAGCGUGGGGAGCAAACCGGAUUAGAUACCCGAGUAGUCC
rnacentral:rRNA from 1 species